ensembl:lncRNA
CUGGACUAGAGAAAACUUUUUGGUGUCUUCCAGGUGAAGCUUUCGGUGAACAAAUGCUAAGAAGAGGAUGUGUGCUGGCAAGCUUCGAUCUGUUUGUUGGGUGUGUGCUCCAUACAAAUAUGAAUCUAAAUUGGGAUUUUCCAGGCUUCCUGCAUAUCCGUGAAGCAUAUACCCAUUUUUUUAUCCGUGGGUAGCUACAUGACAAGAGCAUCGCCUCACAAACCGGGUCCCGGGCGAAUCAGGGCUGCCACUGCGGAUUACCGAGCAAAUAUAAGUGGGAAAUGAGUGCAGAUCUGGGAGAUCUACGCCUCCACAUCCACGGUUUGACAUUUCCGUCCAAAGGCCACUCUUUCCUGCGCAUUGUUAGAUCAACGGAACCUCGCGCUGGGAACUCUUAUUGUAUUUUUUAUUUUUGUGUUCCGAGAUUCUGCAGUUAUCUGUUGAACAAUGUCAAAAACAAGGACACGGAGCCACGCGCCAGCGGAGCUGUUCGUGGUGCUGAAAUCAUCGCCAUGUGGCGCGCGUGGUGCCGCGCGCGUGCGCUGAGUGCGUUCAGUGCCAACGGUGUUGUGUUCGAUUGGGAAACUCAAGAGAUAAAAACAAAAAAAAAUAGAUAAAUCGAUAGAUGUCGAGGUUAU